rnacentral:lncRNA from 1 species
UACCGCAAGCUGCACCUGCCGCACCCCAGGCUGCUGCGGACGACUCAGUACCGCAAGAUGCACCUGCUACGCCCCAGGCUGCUGCGGACGGCUCAGUACUGCAAGAUGCACCUGCCACACUCCAGGCUUCUGCGG